GUGAAACCGCGAAUGGCUCAUUAAAUCACACCUAAUCUACCGGAAUGAUACAACGUUACUUGGAUAACUGAGGUAAUUCUUGAGCUAAUACAUGCGAGAAACCUCGACUCACGGAGAGGUGCUUUUAUUAGAUCAAAACCAGACGGCGUUGGCCGUGUCAAAGCGGCCUCGCCGGCAACCUUGGCGAUUCUGAAUAACUUUGGGCUGAUAGCAUUGCCUAGCGCAGGCUACAUUUCCUUCGAAGGUGUGCCCUAUCAACUUUCGACUGUGUCACAGCUGGGCACAGUGGUUUUGACGGGUAACGGGGAAUCAGGGUUCGAUUCCGGAGAGGGAGCAUUAAAAUCGGCUACCACAUCCAAGGAAGGCAGCAGGCACGCAAAUUACCCAAUGGUCGCAGACCGAGGUAGUGACGAAAAAUAACAAUACCGGACUCUUCCGAGGCCCGGUAAUUGGAAUGAGUACACUUUAAAACCGUUCCCGAGGAUCUAUUGGAGGGCAAGUCUGGUGCCAGCAGCCGCGGUAAUUCCAGCUCCAAUAGCGUAUAUUAAUGUUGUUGUGGUUAAAAAGCUCGUAGUUGGAUCUCGGCGGGCAGCCGGUCGGUCCGCAUCGCUGCGGUUACUGAUCCGGUCGUUUUAGCCCGUGUUAUGUUUGCUGGUUUUGCCAGGCCGGUGAUCUUGAUCGGUCGUCGGCCCUGGGUCAGCAGUUUUACUUUGAAAAAAUUAGGGUGCUCAAAGCAGGCUUUUGAAGCUUGAAUAUUCGUGCAUGGAAUAAUAGAAUAGGAGGUCGUUCCUAUUUUGUUGGUUUUCGGGAACCGACUUAAUGAUUAAAAGGGACUGCUCGGGGGCAUUUGUAUUCAGGCGCUAGAGGUGAAAUUCUUGGACCGCCUGAAGACAAACUACUGCGAAAGCAUUUGCCAAGGAUGUUUUCAUUAAUCAAGAACGAAAGUUAGAGGUUCGAAGGCGAUUAGAUACCGCCCUAGUUCUAACCAUAAACGAUGCCAGCCAGCGAUCCGCCGGUGUUUGCUUCUUAACGACCCGGCGGGGAGCUUCCGGGAAACCAAAGCUUGUGGGUUCCAGGGGAAGUAUGGUUGCAAAGCUGAAACUUAAAGUAAUUGACGGAAGGGCACCACCAGGGGUGGAGCCUGUGGCUUAAUUUGACUCAACACGGGAAAUCUCACCAGGCCCGGACACCAGAAGGAUUGACAGAUUGAUAGCUCUUUCUUGAUUUGGUGGGUGGUGGUGCAUGGCCGUUCUUAGUUGGUGGAGUGAUUUGUCUGGUUAAUUCCGAUAACGAACGAGACUCUGUCCUGCUAACUAGGUUCUGUUUUCUCGGUUGCUGUGCGUCGUUUCGGCGGCGCUCGGCUUCCACUUGUGAACAGAAUACUCUUCUUAGAGGGACUGGCGAUUGUUAGUCGCACGAGAUAGAGCAAUAACAGGUCUGUGAUGCCCUUAGAUGUUCUGGGCCGCACACGCGCUACACUGAAUGGAUCAGCUAGUUUGCUCCCUCCCCGAGAGGGGCGGGAAAACUGUUGAACCCCAUUCGUGGUAGGGAUUGGAGCUUGCAAUUGUUCUCCAUGAACCAGGAAUCCCCAGUAGGCGCCAGUCAUAAGCUGGCGUCGAUUAAGUCCCUGCCCUUUGUACACACCGCCCGUCGCUACUACCGAUUGAGUGUUUU
rnacentral:rRNA from 1 species